rnacentral:rRNA from 1 species
UAGUGGGGGACAACAUGGGGAAACUCAUGCUAAUACCGCAUACGCCCUAUGGGGGAAAGCGGGGGACCUUCGGGCCUCGCGCUAUCAGAUGAGCCUGCGUAGGAUUAGCUUGUUGGUGAGGUAAAGGCUCACCAAGGCGACGAUCCUUAGCUGGUCUGAGAGGAUGAUCAGCCACACUGGGACUGAGACACGGCCCAGACUCCUACGGGAGGCAGCAGUGGGGAAUAUUGCGCAAUGGGCGAAAGCCUGACGCAGCCAUGCCGCGUGUGUGAAGAAGGCCUUAGGGUUGUAAAGCACUUUCAAUUGGGAAGAAAGGUUGCGUGUUAAUAGCACGUAGCUGUGACGUUACCUUUAGAAGAAGCACCGGCUAACUCCGUGCCAGCAGCCGCGGUAAUACGGAGGGUGCGAGCGUUAAUCGGAAUUACUGGGCGUAAAGCGCGCGUAGGCGGUUUGUUAAGUCGGAUGUGAAAGCCCCGGGCUCAACCUGGGAAUUGCAUUCGAUACUGGCCGACUAGAGUACGAGAGAGGGAGGUAGAAUUCCACGUGUAGCGGUGAAAUGCGUAGAUAUGUGGAGGAAUACCGGUGGCGAAGGCGGCCUCCUGGCUCGAUACUGACGCUGAGGUGCGAAAGCGUGGGUAGCAAACAGGAUUAGAUACCCUGGUAGUCCACGCCGUAAACGAUGUCUACUAGCCGUUGGGAGACUUGAUUUCUUAGUGGCGCAGCUAACGCACUAAGUAGACCGCCUGGGGAGUACGGCCGCAAGGUUAAAACUCAAAUGAAUUNNUU